GACGAACGCUGGCGGCGUGCCUAACACAUGCAAGUCGAACGGGGUUACGAGAGCUUGCUCUUGUAACUUAGUGGCGAACGGGUGAGUAACGCGUGAGAAACCUGCCUCUCAGUGGGGGACAACAGUUGGAAACGACUGCUAAUACCGCAUAAUGUCAUCGAGCGGCAUCGCUUGAUGACCAAAGAUUUAUUGCUGAAAGAUGGCCUCGCGUCUGAUUAGCUAGUUGGUGGGGUAACGGCCCACCAAGGCGACGAUCAGUAGCCGGUCUGAGAGGAUGAACGGCCACAUUGGGACUGAGAUACGGCCCAGACUCCUACGGGAGGCAGCAGUGGGGAAUAUUGGGCAAUGGGGGAAACCCUGACCCAGCAACGCCGCGUGAAGGAAGAAGGCCUUCGGGUU
rnacentral:rRNA from 1 species